CACACUUGCUUUUGUUCUGUGCAUACAAGUAUGAAGUGCGUCAAAAGUACGCAUUAUGUGGUUUAGGUAACCAGAAAUGUUGUCCAUGAAAAAAAAAGAAAUUAGAAAAAAGAAAGCCUAAGGAGAUGAUGCCAAGAAAGAACCUUCCAUUGACUGGUCUCCAUUUUCUUUCUUUUUUAAGAAUCCAAAUCCUUAUUCACCUACGCAAUUAUACUUUUUGUAUUUGAUAAGUAACUACGUGUUUGCUAAGCAACCUUUCCACG